AGCGCCACUGGCGAGGAGGAGGCGGGCUCCGGGCCCUCCUGGGGGCCCCGGGCCAGGGAGCACGGAGGGGAGGCCGAGCAGCCUCGGAGGGACGUGCACCGGGUGGCGUUUCGAGUGGGGGAAACCACCGCUCGGGGGGUAAACUGCCGGUGGCUUGGCGAGGAGGCCCGCAUGGCGGGCCGCGGGGACUGGAGGAGGGGAAGGAGGUGGUGGCUUUGGAAACGGGCGGUGUCGGGGAGUUGCCCGGCUGGUCUGGUGUGGAGGUCUCGGGGAUAUUUACCCUACAUUGGCGAGAGACGAACCCCACAGAUCUGGGGCUUGACAGUCUACAUGUUUAAGUCUACCAGAAAAAAAAAAAAUCACUGGAUAUGAAGUUGCAAUACAGAUCAAAGUCUGCAUCCACAUCCUCACAUUGGUGACCUUGGGGCACCACUUUCAGAUAAAAACAUAGACCUGAAUGGCAUCAUCCAGUAUCCAAGGAAACCAUAAAAUAGUUUAUUGAAAAUAUAUGUGUCCUGUCCUGUCCGGUCCUGAGGUUUUGAAACUUAUACAUUCACGCAUAGUCACUGAGUUUGGAAGAGGAUUCUAGAGUCACAGAUGUGAUUAUAGCCCCUGCCAACAUCUCAAGUCUAGCCUGGUGACACCCUGAGCACAGGAACCAGCCAACUCGUCUAACCUCUGGAGCAGAACUGUGAGGCUCUGGAAACCAAGAACAUCAUUCCUUCAGAAAUGCUUUAUGUCUCAGGCAUUAUACUUGACUCCAGUGUGAGCCUUUGGUGGUCCUUACUGUCCUGAAGUCCAGUGUGGGGAUAGAACACUUAGCAGGGCCACACUUGAGGGAAAUACUUCAAAUUUUUGGCAACACAUUCCAACAGCAGUAACUCCAAGUAACUUUCUGAAAUAAGGGAUCAACAGUUCUUACAGUACCCUGGAACAUAAUUCACCAUGGCCAGGAUGAAUCUGCUGUACACAGGAGUGAUCCUUCUAACCUGCCAUGUCCAUAGUUAUGUGAGAAUCUAGGAUGGAGCUGAAAGAACUAUAUCUUCCUGGAUCAUACCCAAAAGGAUGCAUCUUUGAACAUUUUGAGAAUAAAUGGAAGAAAAAAGACUUAAAAAUAAAGUACUUCAAAGCAUCUGAAUUUGAGAGGUCUCUAAGUGCACUGAUGACAGGAAAAUCUUCAGUGGUUCCAGAGACAAGCUGCUGGAAAUCCUGCACAUUUAUUUUCUAGAAGGAAAUGAGCUGAUGAGGAAUAAUCCCUUCAGAGAGAUCCUCCCUUUAAAAAACCUUAAAGGACUCCAAAUUAAAGCAUAGCCAUUUCUGGGACCCUAAAGUGACUCAAAAAAAGGCAACAUCACUUACUUAAUGUUAGGUGAAUUUCAAAAGCCUUAAGAAGGGGAGAGCAAAGGUGGGGAGAAAGAUGGUGAAUAAAAUGUGAGAACCUACCAAGUAAAGAAAUAUCUUUUAAAUUCCA